AGAGUUUGAUCAUGGCUCAGAGCGAACGCUGGCGGCAGGCUUAACACAUGCAAGUCGAGCGGGCGUAGCAAUACGUCAGCGGCAGACGGGUGAGUAACGCGUGGGAACGUACCUUUUGGUUCGGAACAACCCAGGGAAACUUGGGCUAAUACCGGAUAAGCCCUUACGGGGAAAGAUUUAUCGCCGAAAGAUCGGCCCGCGUCUGAUUAGCUAGUUGGUGAGGUAACGGCCCACCAAGGCGACGAUCAGUAGCUGGUCUGAGUGGAUGAUCAGCCACAUUGGGACUGAGACACGGCCCAAACUCCUACGGGAGGCAGCAGUGGGGAAUAUUGGACAAUGGGCGCAAGCCUGAUCCAGCAAUGCCGCGUGGGUGAAGAAGGUCUUCGGAUUGUAAAGCCCUUUCGGCGGGGACGAUGAUGACGGUACCCGCAGAAGAAGCCCCGGCUAACUUCGUGCCAGCAGCCGCGGUAAUACGAAGGGGGCUAGCGUUGCUCGGAAUGACUGGGCGU
rnacentral:rRNA from 1 species